GAAUCUUGCGCAAUGGACGAAAGUCUGACGCAGCGACGCCGCGUGAGUGAUGAAGGCCUUCGGGUUGUAAAGCUCUGUGGAGGGGGACGAAUAAGUGUCGUCGAAUAGACGGCAUGAUGACGGUACCCCUUUAGCAAGCACCGGCUAACUCUGUGCCAGCAGCCGCGGUAAGACAGAGGGUGCAAACGUUGUUCGGAAUUACUGGGCGUAAAGCGCGUGUAGGCUGCUCGGAAAGUCGGAUGUGAAAGCCCUGAGCUCAACUCAGGAAGUGCAUUCGAAACUCCCGAGCUCGAGUUUCGGAGAGGAAGGCGGAAUUCUCGGUGUAGAGGUGAAAUUCGUAGAUAUCGAGAGGAACACCGGUGGCGAAGGCGGCCUUCUGGACGAUGACUGACGCUGAGACGCGAAAGCGUGGGGAGCAAAC
rnacentral:rRNA from 1 species